rnacentral:rRNA from 1 species
CCCACCUGAUUCCAUUCCGAACUCAGAAGUGAAACGAAAUAGCGCCGAUGGUAGUGUGGGGUUUCCCCAUGUGAGAGUAGGACAUCGCCAGGU